GUGGGGAAUAUUGGACAAUGGGGGGAACCCUGAUCCAGCCAUGCCGCGUGUGUGAAGAAGGCCUUUUGGUUGUAAAGCACUUUAAGCGAGGAGGAGGCUACCGAGAUUAAUACUCUUGGAUAGUGGACGUUACUCGCAGAAUAAGCACCGGCUAACUCUGUGCCAGCAGCCGCGGUAAUACAGAGGGUGCAAGCGUUAAUCGGAUUUACUGGGCGUAAAGCGCGCGUAGGUGGCCAAUUAAGUCAAAUGUGAAAUCCCCGAGCUUAACUUGGGAAUUGCAUUCGAUACUUGUUGGCUAGAGUAUGGGAGAGGAUGGUAGAAUUCCAGGUGUAGCGGUUAAAUGCGUAGAGAUCUGGAGGAAUACCGAUGGCGAAGGCAGCCAUCUGGCCUAAUACUGACACUGAGGUGCGAAAGCAUGGGGAGCAAACAGGAUUAGAAACCCUGGUAGUCC
rnacentral:rRNA from 1 species